rnacentral:rRNA from 1 species
UACGGAGGGCGCAAGCGUUGUUCGGAAUCACUGGGCGUAAAGCGCGUGUAGGCGGCUCUGCAAGUCGGGUGUGAAAUCCCGAGGCUCAACCUCGGAACUGCACUCGAUACUGCUUGGCUCGAGUCCCGGAGAGGGUGGCGGAAUUCCCGGUGUAGGGGUGAAAUCCGUAGAUAUCGGGAGGAACACCAGUGGCGAAGGCGGCCACCUGGACGGUGACUGACGCUGAGACGAGAAAGCGUGGGGAGCAAACAGG